CCCUGCUGGGUAAAGUACCCUCAGAUUCUCUGACCCUGAGUAAGGUGUCACUAGGAAGCCCCUGUGGGCCCCACGAGGACGUGCUGUGUUGUCUGCGGUAGUACUAUCUGUUACAAACAGGAUGCCUUUGUAAGACGCCCCAAGGCAGGUGCAAGGCCACUGCCAGCCUCCGGGACUCCAGAGCGGUCCAAGCCACCUCCAACCACUGUAGCCCUCAGUCAUAGAGCUCAGAUUGAGCGUCCGCGGAGGCAGCCUGGCAGCCCCCCUGAAGGAUCCCCGAGACAUGCGCCUCGGUGUCUGUUCUGACAACAGGUUCAGAAGGCGAAGUGAAGAAGACCAGAGCCCAGCAGGGCUACUUGGAGACAACAGCCCUCAGGCACUGUGCGGGCUUCAGAACGGGAGCCAGGUGGCUGGAGCACCCUGAGGACGCCUUGUGGGAGGAGUCUGUUCGGUAAGGAAGCGACUUCUAUUGGAAAGGAGAAAUAUUUCAGUCGGUGACCAGAACGUGAGGACUGUGAAGCCUGACUAAGGAGCUGGACACCAACCCCCGGGCAGCAGGUCACCGGCACUUCUCAGAACAGUGAGCUGCAUCGUGAAACUUACGGAGAAAUGUCAAGGAUGGCUCUUAGGAGAGACUGAAGGCCAAGACUGAAGUCAAGAGGACGAGGCGCCCACGGGAAGAACGAAGAAGACAGAGGGAGGCGGUGUCAUGGCCACACAUUUAACUUUGGUGAUGAUCUUCUGAGACUUCCAGGGCCACCACGACUCUCUGCUUCAUCUGUACAGCUACUGUUCCUUCUCCUGACACCUUCUUCAGGGUCCACUAAGCCCCUCCUCACAUCCUUUAAGGCGAGAUUAAAACUGCUUCCUUGAAGCCUCUGCAAAUCACUUCCUUUGCUGAGAAGCAGCCAUUUCCUUCUCUGGUCUCCAAGAAGGAAGAGUUGACAAACAGUAUGUCCAGGACUGGUGAGGCACCGGCUCCAGCACUGGUGCAGAGAUUGCCCAGCUCUGUCUCUGUCCGGCUAGCUGGGCACCUGCCUGUGUGCCAGUCCCGAGGAGAAGGCGUUUCCAACACAAGUGAUGGGAAGGGCUGUGAGUGAGGCUAGGCUGGUAGCCUGCAGGGUUUUUCCCUCAGCCUUGCACAAAACUAGGUGUCGUCAUGCAAGCCUGAAAUCCCAGCACCUGGGAGGCAGGAGGAUCAAAAGUUCAAUGUCACUAACUCUACAGCAAGUUCAAGUACCAGCCUGGGACAUGUGAGACGUUGUCUCAAAAUGACUGCAUGUGUGCGGGCAUGAAAGAAAGAAUGAGGGUCCGAUGUGUGUCAAGAAGCUGAAGACUCUUCUGAAGGCUAAACUCCACCAGCCCUGGCAACAUUGCAGACUAAAGAAACUGGCUCCCAGCAGAGAUAACCAUCUGGGAGAGAAAUCUGAGUAUUUCAUUCUUGUAUGAGUUCUCUUGUGCAUCUGAAAAUUCCAUCUUCAAGCAAGGCUUCCCUGGGCCUAAAAGAGCCUUGUUACACACCAGAAUACUGUUCUGUAAUGAGUCCUUCUGUUCCAAAAGGAUGAGCCACCAUAGUGUCCAUGGGGACUAUGGGAAGCUAGAAGAAGGACAAGCCUGGGCAUCAAGUGUGGGCACAGAGUCUUGGAUCCAAACGAAGCUGAUUCACCAGUCUCCUGCACAGGGGCAGCCACCUACAGCAUGGAAUGACCUGAAAACGCAGCCUUUCCAGGAAGAUGGUAGUCCCCACAUUUUCUGUGAGGAGACGUGGCUGCCACAGGUCACACUACCAUCAAUGCAGGGCUGCUUGACUCCAUCCGUGCACGCCACGAUUCCUCUUGCAUCAGACUACGGAAGAACAAUGGGGGGUGGUAGUUAUGAGCUAAGUAAAAUAACUCCAAAAAUAGCUCUUAUAGACAAAGCAGGAAGUUACAUUUAAGUUCUCCAAGAUCCCUCUUAGCCAGAUUCUAGCAACUUUUCUCUUAUUGUUCCUGCAUUGUGUAAUGAGCAAAAUUUUAGACUGACAUCUUGGGAGAGAAAAUUCCUGUUGUUUGUUAGGUAACAUCAGCCCAUUUUGGCUGCUGUAACAAAAUAUCUGAGCUUGGGUAAUUUAUGAAGAAAGGUGCUGUAUUUCCUACAGCUCUGGACACUGAGGAGUCCAAUGUCGAGAGGUCCUCACCUGUCAAGGACUUUUUGGAUACAUCAUCCCUAUGACAAGAGGUAGAAGGACAGAAGAGGAAACAGUGGUCAGUCACCUUUGAUUGGUUGGUUGGACAGUGUUUGAUCCUUGAAAAAGGGUCUUGAGAUGUAGCCUGGAUGGUCAGGAACUCACUAAUCAGGCCAGGAACCCCCUCCCACAAUAAGAAAUUGACCACCUACUCUCAUAGUGACAUGAGCCUGGUCAUGAGGAUGGUGCCCACCCCACCUCUGCACAUCGGUACUGAGGACGACACCUCCACCAUGGGGAGCUGCAGGAAGACUCCCCAGUCCUUCGAUCCCCAGCUUCAUCUUUAUCAGAAAAUACCUCUCAAAAGCAAUGACUUUCAUAGCCAAACAUUAGCAGGGGACUCAGGAGAGACCAGCCCCCACCCCUUCGUUUUCCUGCAGCAAAUGGCAACUGCGGUGGAGGAGUGUGAGGCUGCAGGGUGAGAACCUUGCAGACUGGGGUGCCCUGCACCCCGUAGGUGCCAGCGGCUGUUCCCCGGAAGCCCACACAGAGCCAGAAUACAGGCAGGGGGUUCAUGCCAUAAACCCAGGCAGCAUGGAGUUUGCUCACAGUCCCUGGACACAGACACAUGUGGUAAGAAUGCAGGGGAUGUGCUCGGGCAGCAAAUCGAGUUGACGCCAAGGGAAACCUCCGCUUUGCUCUGCCAGAUCUCCAAUCGAAAACCGCCUCGCAUUCCGUUUUAUGUCUGUCCCUUUUUGUCCUGUCUUUAAUUUUCCACCAUUCCCUUCGGUUCCUAGUGAGGUCCCACUGACUCGCUCUGCAGGUGGCGCAGGAGGCAUUGUGGACACACCCUGCCUUCCCCCUCCCCGCCAGAGAGUCCAUAUGGCGUUUUCUCUUGAUUCCUGCACUGCCUGCUUUCAAGCAGCGCAGUGAGUGCUAGGGCGAAGACAGGGAGCCCGUGAGACGUGCACUUCAAUGGGACCACCACCGGGGAGUUGAGGGAUAAAACACAACAGGGACCACAAGCCUUCCUGGAUGGAAGAAACCACACGCAGCAGCGUGUUGGCCAAGCCCAGGGUCAUACGAGAGUUCUCAUCCGCUGUGAAUAUUGAAAUUAAUCAUUUUCCCUGCAUGAAAAACACCUGCUUCCUUUGGGUAAAAUGCUUAGAGAAUUCUUAUCCAAACUAAAUGAAGAUGGAAGUUGGUUGUUUGCGCAGAGACACCAAUGGCUGGCUUAUGUACUCAGACUAGCCUAACUGCUCAGCUGAAUGCUCGGGUAAAUGAAUGAACAUAGUAGAUUGGUAAAAGGGAAAAAUGGAUGGAGAGGAAGCAGAGACAGACAAUGGAAUAGCAGAGGAAAGGGAGAAUGAACCGCUUUUCUUUGAGCGGGAUUUUAUUUUGUUUGGGAAUUAAAAAGAGGAGAGAAGUCCUGACUGGUCCAUCACACAUUUCAUUCUUCAACAUCUUUAACAGAAACCAGCAAACAAGAACGGCAAGUCAACAAUCCAAUUCAUCAAUAAAUCAGAGUUAACCAAUGGAUCCACUUAUGACAUGAAGCAAAUUAUUUGUGACUAGUAUAGAGGCUGCUGAAGAUAAGAUUGGCUGUUUCCUCAAAUUGCUUCUUGUGACCACAAACACAUACACACACAUUCAUACACACACAUACACACAUGCAUACAUUCAUGUGCACUUGCACGCGCACACACACACACACACACACACAACACACACACACACACACACAAGCUUACAAAUCAUUGUUUCCUGCUUACUUAGAAUGAACAAGCCAGAUGAACCAGCUACUCUAUUCUCUUUCAAGCAUCCUUUUAAUCUACCUCUCACCCCAAAAUAGCUGCCCCACCCCCAUGCCAAGUAGGAUUCAAAAGAUCCUCAGUCCAGAGCAUCCUUCUUUGCCCCCUCAUCCCUGGUCCAGAGCAUCCUUCUUGGCCCCCUCAUCCCUGGUCCAGAGCAUCCUUCCCUGUCUCCUCAUCCCUGGUCCAGAGCAUCCUUCCCUGCCCCCUCAUUCCUGGUCCAGAGCAUCCUUCCCUGGCCCCUCAUCCCUGGUCCAGAGCAUCCUUCCCUGUCUCCUCAUCCCUGGUCCAGAGCAUCCUUCCCUGCCCCCCAUCCCUGAUCCAGAGCAUCCUUCCCUGGCCCCUCAUCCCUGGUCCAGAGCAUCCUUCCCUGGCCCCUCAUCCCUGGUCCAGAGCAUCCUUCCCUGCUCCCCCAUCCCAGGUCCAAAGCACCCUUCCCUAGCUCCUCAUCCCUGGUCCAGAGCACCCUUUCCUGGCCCCUCAUUCCAGGCUCCACACUCUGGCUGCUUCCUGAGAGCAGGCAGGCACCUCCUGCAGGCCACAGACUGCACUGGCUGCAGAUCCUUUCCUGUGCAGCAACAUCUUCUCCAGCUGCAUGGGAGGGCUGAGGAGUUCCCGGUGUGCUAGGGAACUUGCUGCCUGAAUCUCACGAUGAAGGUGAGGGUAGACACUGCUUUUCAGGGCCUUCACGUGGUGUCCCCAAACCUGGACUCCACUAAUCACUGCACCCUUUACUUCUUCUCAGCCCCCCAUAUACCCAAAAAAUAUCUCCCACGAGGCACCCCAGCACAUUUCCCUCUCCAUAAACAAGAGAGAGGACCAUGCCAUUUUGUCUGGUAUGUCUUCCUCUCAGAGCUUGUCCCAGCUCAUCCUUGCUGGGGAGGGAGUCUAGCAUGACAUCAGCAAAGGUGCGGAGGCUGCUUCCAAAAAUGCCCCUCGUCCUGCAUCCUUCCUCCCUGGGUAAGCACUCCUACUGUCCUACCCCCACCUCCACCUCUUACCCCUAGAUUCUGUAACUGGGGUGCAGGGGCCAACACUCAAGUUAGACAGACAGGAGGAAACCAUAUAGCACUUUCAGGAACCCGGGAUAGCCAACUAGGCUCUGUCAGCCAGGCUUCACCACAGAGACCUUCAGCUUUGGGGUGUCCAUUUUACAGGUAAUUGUAAUUACAUCUCAUCUAACAUCUAGGUUUUUUCUGUACGUCUGUACUUGGAGCAAAACUCUUAGGGUAGAAAGGACCCUAGAUGUGAAUUAGGUUUAUGAAAAACCCUGCUGUGUGCCCUUCUGCUAGAAGACGCAUAGCUGUCUGUUAAAUACAUGGUGCACGCCCGGUGCUUUGAGUCCACACCCCAUCGUUUGUUUCUUCCUUGCCCUUUCUCAGCACCGUGUUGGAUCAAAUAUCCAGAGCAUUGCUUCACAUCGCUCGCUCUCUUCUUCAGCUCUCUUCUUCUUUAGUGGACCGUUAGGUUCCAACCUGCUCAGUCUGGAGGCCUGUGUGAGCAGGUCACGAUCCUCUGAGUCUGUCCCAGCUCUCAGGACAGACUCGGGGGUACAGAAAAUGCUUCCCAUGUGGGGUCUCACCUCCCUCUCCUGCACUGAACCAAGCGCAAGCCUUUUGUCCUCAUGGAUGGAGCCUGGACUGGCGCCCGUGUACAAAUGGGUUUUGAAUCGAGGAGACAUAGAAGGGGGAACUGGAAUGUGCUAGGCAUCCUGUUCAGGCUUGUCUGGCUCCAGAGCAAAUAUUCUGUCUUGGGUCAGUUUCAAUCCUGUUGAUCUGGGCUAGAGUCAGUAAUGAGUUGGAGUCCAGUUUGGUUGUAAGAGCCCACUGUUAAUUUUUAGGAAUUUUGCAAGCCAGUUUGACAUGAUAACAUUAGUUUUUAUUAGACACACUGGGAGUAUUUGCUUACAUCACCUUAUUUUAUUUAUUUAUUUUUUUGAGACAUGUGCUCUCAGUGAAGGAGUAUUUAUUUACAUUGCCUUCUUUUUUGAGACUGAGUCUCUCAGUGAAUGUGGAACUUACCUGGUCAGCUAGAUUGGCUGGCUAGCAAGCCUCAGGAGCCCUCCUGAAGCAGUUGGUAGAUAUUUAGCAUAUCUAUUUCCUAUUUCAGAAGUUCAUCUCGAAGUUCAAAGAUGACCACUAGGCCCAAAGGGCACAGCCUCACUACCAGGGUCCGCCAUGUGUCUAAGGCCAGCAGGAGAGUCAGGAGAGGGCCUCAGAAGGUCUGCAGGGUUCAUUCAAGCUCUCCCAGGUCUGCGCCCAGUACCUGAAGCUCUGCAGCUCUGUUCAGAACCCCCCCAUGGAGACAGCAGAGUCCUCUCUGCCUCUCAUCUUAGCCAGGUCAGCUCAAGACACAGCGUGGACUGCCCAACUGGGCAGCGGCGAGCUCCCCAAGGAGGCCUGCUCCAUCCAGGAUGGGGCCUCCAGCUCCAUCACCCUCCUUUGUGAUAUGGUGUCCCCCACAGGGAAAGGAGGAUGGGAACCCCAUGAGUUGGGUAGGAAGCCUACACACACACCUUCUUCUGUGCCUAUGUUUAUCUUUCUGGGCAAUCGUGGCCUCAGCCUGAAAACACCCAGAACCUCAGACAGCUGGUCUUUUCAUGUCCAAGUUGGCUGUGACCAUGGGAAUCAAGUUAGAAGGAGGCUUGCCUACUCACCUUCUUUUGUGUAUACAUGUCUCUGCGUGCGUGUGUGCGUGUGCAUGCGUGUGUGCGUGUGUGCGUGUGUGCGUGCGUGCGUGCAUGCGUGUGUGCGUGUGUGUGUGUGUGAUGUGCUCCUGUGUCUGUGUUUACAUGACACUGGGAAAUAAACACCCUGGGCCUCACACAUGUGCCCUGCCUCAGAGCCACCUCCCCAGCCCACAGACACAUUUUUUGGGAAGUUGUCACUGUUCUGAAGGCAGCACAACGCAGAAAUCCGAUCUCGUGUUGUACUUUUGUUGGUGGUUCUGCCAGAAUCUUUCAGAGAGGUGAAGAUGGAGACUUCUGUGGACUCCAACCAGAAACCAGGACAAAAUCCGGCCAGAGGGAUGUGGAGGUCUCCGGGCACCGGACCUGAGGGCGGCACCCGUGAGGACCCCUGUAGAGGAGGGAUUUCCAAAACUGACAAAGUGCCCCCAGGAGCUUGCCUGACCACGUGAUCAAAGCCCUGUACAAAAACGCAGUGAGAAAUUCCAGCAACAGCUUCGACUGGUUAACCUCAACCUGGAAAUGAGUGACCUCACAGGAACACCUCUAGCCCCUGAGAUGACUGGUGUGUGUGUGUGUGUGUGUGUGUGUGUGUGUGUGUGUGUGUGUGUGUUAUCGUUGAUAUUCAAUCUGUGUCAGGACCAAAAGCAAUUCCUCCUUUCAUCCUUCCUUAGCUUCCUGCCCUGACAGAACCUUCCAGAGCUGAGUGAUUUCAGACUUAAAGAAUUAUAACUACUCUUGCUCAUUGUCCCUAGAAAAUGCUGCUUUCCAGAGCUAGAGUUCCUGCCCGUUGCCCUCUGCCCUGUCUGUCAGUCCCUGACCUCUGCCCUCUGCCCCUUGAUCUCUGCCCUCUGCCCUCUCUAUCAUAAACUGCAUCAGUGUGGUGGGACUGUGCUGUGAAAAGGAUUACAGUCGAAUGUUUGUCCACCCUGCUUUUCACCUGGGAAAACAGCAGAUGUGCCUAGGCAACAGCCACCCCUGAGAGACCCAGCUGCCCCUUCUGUCAGGACGAGGUGUGUCAACACUGUUCAAAGGAUGCUGCAUGGUGGCUGCUGGUCACGUGUUGACCACUAUUCUUGAACUCCGAGAGGGUCCUGUUGAAUUGUCCUUUCUCCUUCUCCGCCCAUAUACCUGACACUGUGCCCUGUGUAUCCUCCUAACACGUGCUGGGGUGGUAAACCUACUGCUCUUGGGGAUGUAUUCAAUAUUGGCGGCACUUCUCCACUUUCUAAAGGUGGUUUUGGGCUUCAGGAGGGGUUGUUUGCCCUUCCCACAUGUUGCAGCGAACCUCGCGGCCUUUGAAGCCAGCCCACUGCCUCAGCGCGGGGACUACCACAUAUUUUGAGGGAUGUCACUGAAAAUGUUUGGGCUUUUGAACCAGUCUCUUACCAAGUUAUUUUUAUGAAAAAUUAGUCUGUUUCUAAUUGCUAAUUUGAAUAAGUGACACUAUAUUUUAACUAUAUAUUUUUACAUAGAAACAGCUCGUGCAUUUUAUUAUAAAUGUGUACUUGGGUAUAACUUAAACCUUUAAAAACUCCAAUUAAGUUGUUCAUUGACUGCAAUGUAUUUUGAUUAGACUUUAGAAGGGAAAACAGGAGAUUAUAAACAACAUAACAUGUGGGUUCAGGAUAUGUGAAAUCUUCAGAGAAUUUUACCAGUGUUGACUAGUGUUAGGUUAGUGGGGCACAUGGACCAUCACCAUCUCAGAGACUAGUUUAACACCACCUCCUCUCCAGACAAGCAGAUUACCGUCACAGACCUGGCCUGACCUUGAGGAUGGGGAAGAGCCAGAUUCUUAGCCAGCAACUAUUUCUUAAAGAGAACUGGAUGGCCUCCAGCGAAACAAUAAAAAAGAAAAGCAAUCUCGGCAAAGAGCCUGUGACAAACACUAACAUGUCCUUUUAUCAGAUCCUGCUUUGAGGGGCCCUGUGCUGACCCCUGCCUCUCCAGAGAGUCACCUGACUCAAAAAGUCUCACUCAUUUCCUGGUGUGCCCUCCUCCACAGCAAAGGCUCAGGACUUCUCUCAACAGGCCACAGAAGCCCGUGUUACCAAAACUUGCAAACCAUAAGGGUGCCAGCAUCCCACCCCAUUCUCACUGGUACCCCAGAGCGUAUCUCCAGGCAUCACCAGACAUUACCAGGGAAUGGAGGUGGGUGAGCUUUGCUCCUGGUUAACCGUGGUUGUGAGAGCUUCUCCUGUGAUUAGUCAACCAGUCAGCUGAGGUCCAGUGGAAAACCCAACUUAGGCAGCCUAGUGGGAAAGAAUAAGCAAAGUAUUCUAGAAUGAAAGUGGGGAUGGGUUUUUAGUGUGCUUGAUAGACAGUAAAAACUGGGCUGUGCUAUGCUGUGAGGAGGAGGGAAAAUAUGAACCAAAAGAAUUCUGAAUCCAUAUCAAGUGAAAGGUCCAGCUCAUAUUUCCACAGGAAUCUAGUCUCGUCUGGUUGCCUCCCUCUUCAUCACCAUGAGCUGCUGUCUCUCAUGGCCCAUGGGCUCGCCUCUGCCUCCCGAAUGCUGGGAUUAAAGGCGUGUGCCGCUACCACCCAGCUAAUUCUUUUGUAAGCAUCAAAAGCCACAAUUCUGUGACCACAGCACACAGAGAUGACCUUUAUAUGUGUUCUUUAUUUGGGAAAUAAUUUCUACAGGAAUUAAUCUCCAGCAGCCAAAGAUACACACAGAGACACGCUCCGUAGGUGGGGAGAGUGCCUUUCUCCAGGAAACCAGAAAGGAAUCUUCCAGACAGCCCAGGAGAUCUGCUCACUCCAGCCCUCUGGUCACACAGAAGACAGAAAUAGCCCUGCCAUUUGAAGGGCCAAGAGCUCUGAGGUAAAACACAGUGAUGGAGACCACAGACUUUGGACACAGAUGGGAUUUCAAAAGCAGAACCUGGAUGACAAGGGACCCUGGACUUUGACAAUGUCUGUGCUUCCUAUUUGAGACAGGGUCCCAUGACCUCCUGGGGCCCAGACUGGCCUUAGAGUCACUGACCUUUAACUUCUGAUCCUCCGGGCUCCACCUGUAGAGUACUUGGAUUACUGCGUCACUGCACCCACGUGGUGCUGGGUAUGAACCCAGGGCUUGGGUCAUGCUAGGCAAGCACUCUCCCAACGGAGCUUCGUUCCCAGCUGUGGUUUGUGCGCUAUUCUUGCAAGGAUCGGGUUCCUGGGCACCAGUAAUUCUUCAAACCCAGGCUUGCCCCUGCCUCAAAGCUUUUAGGAUGUGGUUAGGAAAAGAACCAGAGCAAAGGCAGAGUGAGGUGUGCCCGUGUGAGUAACAGGGGACCUCUACACUUCCCAGAGCCCUGGAUGAAGCAUUGUUCAUCCAACUGGUUAUCAAAGUUUCUCCCACACAUCAUGAACAGUAUGAGCUUCGCCCACCCUGCCUGCUGGGGUGUGUUGAAUGUGUUAAAACAGCUCAGAGCUCCAGAUGAUGCCUCACCCAGAUCCUGCCCUGGGUCUCAGGAACCUGAAGAGUUCUACACCAGGGCCUCAGUGCCGCAGUCUUCUGAGCCAUGCCAGAGGAGACACUGCUACCACAGGACUGGGUCAAGCUAGGGAGAGGCGUCUUCGGUCUGUAGAUCUGAGGAAUGAGAGCAGAGGAUGCUGUCAGCUGAGGGAACUCAGGCGCUGUGGGCGCUUCAAGGGUUUGCUUUUUAUGGAUUUUCUAACUCAGAAAGCAAAGAGGAACGACUUUCAUUCUGCAGGCUGCUGCAAACACUGUUGACUCUGGGUGUGCAGUCUGCCUGUACCCUGCGACAGAGCACAGUGGCAUCUGUGGGAGCCGGCACAGGCCAGUGCAUAGACACACACAGGUGCGUCCUCUCUGGCAUAUUCCUACCUGUGACUGUGAAGUCCCAGCACUCGCUUUCUGCCGGUGGCAACGAUGGGUGUAACCAGCAGGGCCCACGUCUGUUUGUCUGUUUGGAGGGCUGCUUGGCUCCUGACCCACAGCCAGGGGAAGUGGUCUCCAGAUGGACAAGUAGUGUACAAAACUACCCCUGGAUCUAAACCUUACAGUGUCUCUGGAUCUAGGGCCCUGGUGACUCCCCGCCUCACACAUUCCUCAACAGGAAUGGACCUCUUCCCGGGCACUGGGCUGCCUUGCCUCCCUGCACAGAAGGUGGGUUGGGUGGAGCACCCUCCCCGGAGUUUUGCCAAAGCACACCUGUUCUGAGAAAUGGUGCUGCUGACUCAGCCCCUCAGCCCUGACUCUGUGAUGCCUGCUGGCGGGGGCCUGGAACAGUUGUCGGGUGGCUCUUGGGUGACUCAUAAAUCAAGAGGCUGACUAUUUUCACUCCCAGGGGACUCAAGGCUUUGUCAAAAAAAAAAAAAAAAAAA